rnacentral:rRNA from 1 species
UAGGGAAUCUUCCGCAAUGGGCGAAAGCUUGACGGAGCAACGCCGCGUGAGUGAUGAAGGUCUUCGGAUCGUAAAACUCUGUUAUUAGAGAAGAACAAAUGUGUAAGUAACUAUGCACGUCUUGACGGUACCUAAUCAGAAAGCCACGGCUAACUACGUGCCAGCAGCCGCGGUAAUACGUAGGUGGCAAGCGUUAUCCGGAAUUAUUGGGCGUAAAGCGCGCGUAGGCGGUUUUUUAAGUCUGAUGUGAAAGCCCACGGCUCAACCGUGGAGGGUCAUUGGAAACUGGAAAACUUGAGUGCAGAAGAGGAAAGUGGAAUUCCAUGUGUAGCGGUGAAAUGCGCAGAGAUAUGGAGGAACACCAGUGGCGAAGGCGACUUUCUGGUCUGUAACUGACGCUGAUGUGCGAAAGCGUGGGGAUCAAACAGG